AUGCACUGGUUUGCCUGGUGGAAGCUUUGUGUCCCAAAAUCUCGGGGAGGGAUGGGGUUUAGAGACCGUCAUUGUUUUAAUUUGGCGAUGCUUGCGAAGCAAAUUUGAAGAUUACUAGAGGCACCAGAUAGCUUGUGUGCAAGAGUUCUGAGGAGUAAGUAUUACCCUGAUGGUAAGAUUCUUAAUGCAAAACUUAAACCUGGUUCUUCCUUCACGUGGCAGAGUAUAUUGUCUGGUCUCAACACUUCUAAUAAAGGGGCUAUAUGGCGUGUUGGAGAUGGACAACUGAUUGAGAUCUGGGAGGAUGCAUGGCUUCCAUGUAGGAAUUCUGGAAGGGUGUUAACACCUAAGGGUCAUUGCUUACUAAAAUAUGUCUAUGAACUGAUUGAUCCUUGCACAGGGAGAUGGGAUGUUGAUCUGAUUCCUAGUAUCUUUUGGGAGGUUGAUGUCCAACAAAUAUUGGCGAUUCCAUUGAGUCAGCAUGGUAUGGGCGAUUUUGUGGCAUGGAAAUUUAACAAGAAUGGCCUCUUCUCAGUUCGUUCCGCAUAUCAUAUGGAGUGGGAAUCGACAUUCAGUGUAUCCAUGGAACGAUCGGAUGGGGCGGGGUCAUCAGGGCUAAACAAUGUUGGAAGAGACAUGUGGAAAUGUACAGCACCAGCAAAGGUGAAAAUUUUCGCCUGGAAAUGUUUACAUGGCAUUCUUCCUUGUUAUGGUGUAUUGGCCAACCGUCAUAUUAUGAAUAAUUACCUAUGCCCGGUUUGCAAAAGAUAUUGCGAGGAUAUUAAGCAUGUUCUAUUUCAGUGUGCGGAAGCAAAGGAAAUUUGGGUCAAACUCAGUUUUGAUAGAAGUGGUCAAAGAAGCUUGCGAGGUCGAUCGGUCUGGUAG
rnacentral:rRNA from 1 species